rnacentral:rRNA from 2 species
ACGCUGGCGGCGUGCCUAAUACAUGCAAGUCGAGCGAAUCGAUGGGAGCUUGCUCCCUGAGAUUAGCGGCGGACGGGUGAGUAACACGUGGGCAACCUGCCUAUAAGACUGGGAUAACUUCGGGAAACCGGAGCUAAUACCGGAUACUUUCUUUUCUCGCAUGAGAGAAGAUGGAAAGACGGUUUACGCUGUCACUUAUAGAUGGGCCCGCGGCGCAUUAGCUAGUUGGUGAGGUAAUGGCUCACCAAGGCGACGAUGCGUAGCCGACCUGAGAGGGUGAUCGGCCACACUGGGACUGAGACACGGCCCAGACUCCUACGGGAGGCAGCAGUAGGGAAUCUUCCGCAAUGGACGAAAGUCUGACGGAGCAACGCCGCGUGAACGAAGAAGGCCUUCGGGUCGUAAAGUUCUGUUGUUAGGGAAGAACAAGUACCAGAGUAACUGCUGGUACCUUGACGGUACCUAACCAGAAAGCCACGGCUAACUACGUGCCAGCAGCCGCGGUAAUACGUAGGUGGCAAGCGUUGUCCGGAAUUAUUGGGCGUAAAGCGCGCGCAGGUGGUUCUUUAAGUCUGAUGUGAAAGCCCACGGCUCAACCGUGGAGGGUCAUUGGAAACUGGGGAACUUGAGUGCAGAAGAGGAAAGUGGAAUUCCAAGUGUAGCGGUGAAAUGCGUAGAGAUUUGGAGGAACACCAGUGGC